AUAUCCAUAUACUUGUGAUCAUCAAUGGCUGAACAUCACUUCUAUAUCCAAUAAACGGUGGAACAACGUCAAAAUCUGCUCCGUUGAUCGAUAAACGGCGGCACGCUUCCGAUAAAGGGUGGGAAGACACGCGAGCGAAAGGGAUUACUUCACGGGACUAAUAUUUUGGGGCUGAGCACGUUCUAAUCAACAACACAACAGUGGAAUGUCUUCCGGUAACCAUUGAAUGACACACUUUUGGCAACUGACGGUGGAAACUCCGUCAAGCGGUUCUUAGUGGCAUGGGUGCUUCUCUC
rnacentral:lncRNA from 1 species